AGUGAACGCUGGCGGUAGGCCUAACACAUGCAAGUCGAACGGCAGCACAGUAAUAGCUUGCUCUUACGGGUGGCGAGUGGCGGACGGGUGAGGAAUACAUCGGAAUCUACUUUUUCGUGGGGGAUAACGUAGGGAAACUUACGCUAAUACCGCAUACGACCUACGGGUUAAAGCAUGGGAUCUUCGGACCUUGCGCGAUUGAAUGAGCCGAUGUCGGAUUAGCUAGUUGGCGGGGUAAAGGCCCACCAAGGCGACGAUCCGUAGCUGGUCUGAGAGGAUGAUCAGCCACACUGGAACUGAGACACGGUCCAGACUCCUACGGGAGGCAGCAGUGGGGAAUAUUGGACAAUGGGCGCAAGCCUGAUCCAGCCAUACCGCGUGGGUGAAGAAGGCCUUCGGGUUGUAAAGCCCUUUUGUUGGGAAAGAAAAGCAGCAGGUUAAUACCCCGCUGUUCUGACGGUACCCAAAGAAUAAGCACCGGCUAACUUCGUG
rnacentral:rRNA from 1 species